rnacentral:lncRNA from 1 species
AAAUUUCCCCAAUUUCCUAAACUUUCCCUAAUCCCUAAAUUUUCCCAAAUCAAAAUCCCUAGCCAUCAUCUGCCACCGACCCCUUUGCUGCAUCACCGUCACUGUCGCUAUUCGUUGCCGCAACUAGUCCGUAAAUUUCGCUCUCCGUUAUGAAAAAAAUUAAAACCCUAAACUCACUCUAUUAUGAUUUGGGAAUUUGUUCUUUUCUUUACCCAACUUAUUUCUGAAUAUGUCUAGAUUUUGUAAAGUUGGCUUCAAACUUUCUCAGAAAUUGAUCAUCGAAAUUUAUAUUUUAGUUUGCUUGCUGGAACUAUAAAAUGGGUUUACUUUUGGGGUUAUUUGGUUAUAAAAUGAAUGGCUCAUCAAUAAUGAAUUUUAGGAAUUUUUGGAUUGGGUAUAUAUUUUAAAUUUUUAGUAGAAAUUUUGGGAUUGAAUUUGUGUUGAAUUUUUAGAUUGCUUUCUUUUUUGAAUUUGUGUAAGAGAAUUUUAAUAGAACAUUUUGAAAUUGAAACGAUUACUUUCAUAGAGAGAUUACUUAAUCAUAAGUUAUUAAGGAUUCCAUAACACAGAUUUAUUUUAAUUUUCUGGACAUUCUUCAUAGUUCUAAUUUGUAAGUAGAAACUAUUUGAUGUUUCAAAUUUGGAUGUUUGGUCUUGUGUUUGAUAAGCGAAUGUUUAGUUUAGUUGGUAUAGGUGUCUUGGUAAAAGUAUUUGCAUUCUGUGUUAUUUAUCCUGCCAUUUCAUUUACUUUUUACCCAAUUUCGUUAAUUGAUACUACUCUGCUUUCAUACUACUUCUGAAUGGUGAUAUUUCUUUGAACAGGUUAGUUUGCAGCCUUCGAAAAAUGGAACUGCAUUGAAAGUUCAGAAGGAUGUUGCAAAAAAGCCAGCAGCACUACUAAGUAUGUAUCAUUUUUCUACUUACGAUUUUUAGGAAAGCUUUGGAUGUUCAAUAUCAAUGGAGUGAUUUUAGUGGGAUAUUCUAGUGUCCCUCUCUGGUAUUCUUUUCGGUUACCAUGAGCUUUAAGUUGUUUGUGGCUAUUGUUUUCUCUUUUCCUAAUCUUCAAAAAUUACUUGUGUUGUUCUCUGUGUUGAUGAGGUUUAAUGGUCAUUUUGAUUUUUAGUUUCUAAGUCUUCAGCUUGCCCAAUUUUCAUAUUUUUCCUUCUUGUUGUCUGUUUCCAUGGGAUGCACUUUUUGAAGGUUUCGUUGCUUGUUGCUUUUACACUUUGCUUCUUCCUUUGCGUUUUAGGACAGAUUUGGGCCUACACUUUGUUUUUGGAGUGUUUGAUUGGUUUUCAAGUUUUUCACGAAGACUUGGUUUCUUCAUGUUCCAAUCAUCCAUGUGUACUGAAAAUCAAUUAGGACUUUCAUAGAGAGAUUACUUAAUCAUAAGUUAUUAAUGAUUCCAUAACACAGAUUUAUUUUAAUUUUCUAGACAUUCUAAGAUAGUUUUAACCAUUUUGUAGAUGACUUGCGAUAGGAAUGCUAAUCUAAAUUAAAUUUUAGAAAUCCUAAACAAGGACUCUUUCAUUUCCAAAGGUUUUGGAAUCUUAUAAUAGAAAUGAUGGUUUUUAGGACAAAAUAUUUGGGAUGACAGAAAUGGUAAAAAAAAUGUGGGGAUGCGUAAAGAGUCCAUGUUGAAUAAGGACUUCAGUGGGGUGGGCAGCCUCCUUAGGGAUUCUUCAUGAAACAUCCAUUGACGUUUUUUAGAGAAAUUAAUUUUAGAGUUUUUAGAAGUUUAACCAUUCUUUUUAUUUAUUAAGUAAAAUUCAAUUAAUAAGCGCUAUAAUACAUUUUUAAUAAGUGAAUGUAGAUUCUAAUUUUAGAGUAAACUUAAGGUAGAACGAUUAUAAACUUCCACUAUAAAUAAUAAAAAUUCAAAUUCAAUAAAUUUCAACAAUCCUGCAUUCUUUUCAAGUUCCAAAAUGAAAAACUAAACUAAAAUAUUGAAAUUUUAUUUUUAGUAGUAUCCAUUCUCUCACUACAAAACUGUAUUAAUUAAUGUGUUUCAAAUUACAAUUUACAUUGUUUAGGGUUUAUAAAUUUAAAAUAAAAUAAAAUUAAACUCUGUUGUUAGUUACUGGAGAUAUAGAUUUAAGCAUUAUAUUUUAUUUUAAUCAUUUUUAAUUUUUGUUCUUUUUUUUUUAAUUUUAAACUUAAGUUAUCAUCAAACCAUAUCUAUUAGACUCAUUGAGUUAUAAAAUCAAGUUUUUUCAUGUUACAGGAUUGGGUUUAUCUUAUGCUCGAGUCAAAUUGAUCUCGGACUCGAAUCUAUUACGAGCUUGGAUUUUUUCUGAUUCGGAUUUGUUACAGGUUCGGAUUUUCUCGAACUUAGAUUAUUACGGACUCGAAUUGAUACAAACGAAUUUUCUAGCUCAAGCAUGUUUUCCCAACUCUACUUAGAAGUUUUGAUUAUUUAAUCCAAUUUUUAUUAUUUAAAUUAGUUUUGAUUUUAAAAUUUUAUUUUUAUUAAUAUAAAUGAUUAUUAUUCAAAGAUAUACAAUUAGUUAUUUUUAUUUAUUUAAUAAUAUAUUACUAUUUCAUGUAAUAUAAAACAAUUAAGGUAUAUUAUAAUAUGAUAUUUGUUUACUUAUAAAUUUUUAAUUAAAUAUUAUCAGAUUUUAGAUCUUUUAUUUUUUUUUUAUUUUUUUGUUUUAACGUAUUUCAUUAUUUGUCAAUUUUAAAAUGAUUUACUUAUAUUAGCGUAAAACUAAAAUUUUAUAUAUUUUAUUUCUUUUUUGUAAGGUUAGUAUUUUUACAAUCCAACCAUUAAAAUUAUUAAUAUAAUUUCAUCUAUCAUGUAAAUUUUAAAUAAAUUUAAAUUUUCUAUUAUAUUGAUUCAAAAUUUUAUUUUUAUUUAAAAAUAUAUUAAAUUUGACACGCUUUUUAAUGCACGACAUUUUUUUAUAUUUUGUCUUUUUUGCAGUGUUGUAGCAACUCUAUUUAAAAAAUAAUUUGUAUGUUUGUAUUAUAUAUUGUCUCAAUUCAUAUGAUACUGUUGUAUACUUGGUUGUAUACUUAAUGAAAUUGCACUGCUUGAUUGUCAA